CCAAGUGUAGUGUGAUACUAAAUAAGCAUAGCCUUGGUCGUGGGACCCGGGUAUGUAGUAGGUCUGAUUAUGACAGUUCUUAAAGCACUGGAAUGGCCUGUUAAACAUUGGAAGAUCAUGUGUUAAAGGGGUUAACCAGAUUGACAUUGAUCUGCAUAGAAGCUGCAAACACAAAAUAGGCGAGGAGCAAAAACCGUCCAUCGCCGCCAGCUUGAAUACCCCCGCACAUGUACCAUCCCGCUCCCCUGUUUGUAAUCCUGCCAUGACGAUGCCAAUGAAACAAAAAAAGUCCCUGCUCCAUGUACUGGUAUUUUUCAGGGCAGAUUAAUCAUGUAGCAGUCACAGCGGUGGUCCUAUGCCCGCAGGCAGAAGAGGUUGAGCAGCAGUUCUUCCCAGCACAACUAAUUCAUUAUCAGUUAUGGGUAUAUCUAUAUUUGUAGAACACUGAAUCGAUGACCAGUUCUAUACUGUAUAUGAGGGGGAGGAUUUAGUAAUUGGAAAAUUCUUCUACAAUCUAAUGGACUAGUUGGUUGCUAAAUUUUUGGAAUUUAAUAAACAGUAGUAUACUGUUACUGGAGAAGAAGGAAACAGGAGAUUACAAGAGAUAUUAGCAAUACUACCGUUGUUACUGCUGGUACCAAUCCACAACUUACAGGACUUCCCACUUGGUACAAUUUUUGAUACAUUUUUUUAUCAAAAGCUAUAUUUUUCCCCAUCUCAGAGAUUUAUGGCAUAUCAACUGAGCCUCAGGCUGUUCUACUCUGUUUCUAUAAAUCUUAUAGAAGUAAAUGUAAGUUCUUGAAAGGGCGUAGAAAUGUGAGUUACAGUUCAUACAUAUGGGGGACUUGGAUUUUACAUGCUGAUUAUAAGUAAAAUCCUACUGGCUUCUGAUUAAAUUUAUUAAAGAGGACCUGUAACAACCCAAAAAAAUAAUUUUACUAUUAAUAAAUAGCGUAGCGUGGCCUAGCGAUUAAGUCUUCACUGCACUGUAGUUUAGGAUUACAAAUCGACAAUGAAAUUGAAUACUCUGGUGGUAUUAUACUACAGCCUCAUUGUGCUGUUGUGACUGUGGAUAUAAAGGCAUCCCUACACGUGCUGGGGUGCUGCCAACUUCUCAUGCACUACUGGUCUUGGGUAUUUACAUUGUUACCUUAUCAGAUGCAUAUGGUAACUCAUGGUCAUUCUUAUUGUAUACACCUUUUUAAUAAGCCUUGAGCAACUCCAGAAAUUGCCAUUUUUGCAUAUACUACUGAACAAAAGAUAAGGGCACUGUAGUGGUCAAUGACCAGUGAGCAAAAAGCACGGUCACUAAGUGUGAACUGCUGUCAUUAGCGGUCUGUCGCUGGGGGAGAGUGGAGUCCUAGUGCCUGUGAGUCCGGAGGUGCUGGGGACCAAACAUGCCCAAAGUCACACAUCAAAUUCUAGCAAAGAACAAACAUG